rnacentral:rRNA from 1 species
GUGGGCCACUUUUGGUAAGCAGAACUGGCGCUGUGGGAUGAACCAAACGUUGAGUUAAGGCGCCAAACACAACGCUCAUGGGAAACCAUGAAAGGCGUUGGUUGCUUAAGACAGCAGGACGGUGGCCAUGGAAGUCGGAAUCCGCUAAGGAGUGUGUAACAACUCACCUGCCGAAGCAACUAGCUCUGAAAAUGGAUGGCGCUGAAGCGUUGGGCCUAUACUCAACCGUCAGUGAUAGAAUGAAUAAAAUAAGAAAGUGGUAGAACA